UGGGGGGCGCGGCACCAAAUGUCACAUCAAGCCAGGGCCCCCUGGCCCAGCCACCCGCUCCUUCCCCGGUACCUCGGGUCCCCGGAUGCCAGGCUCAAGAUGGCCACACGGGGGCGACGAGCAUCUAUCCCCUUUCCCCAAGGCUUCAGGGCCAGGCCUGAGCCACACUCCCUGGAGAGCCACACUCCCUGCCCCCGCAGUCCCCACUGCGGUACCACUGGCCCGUCUGUCUCAGGCACUCAGACAAGGCACACAUGUUUACGUCACACAAAGACACUCCGUGCACCAAGUUCACACGGCCGCUCCUGUCGGCAAAUACUGAUCACCACCUGCUGUUCGCCAGGGGCCUGCCGCUCAGAGCCCUGGGCCCGCAUCACUAACCCAACAGGCCCCACUCUUCCAGGAAGGCUUCUCUGCUGCCCCGGGUGCCGGGUCCUGCCUCUGCUGAGUCCCAGGAUUCACAUAGGGCCUGUUCUCUGCCAGCCGUCAGCAGGCGACAAGGAAUUAAUCCACACAGCCCUCCCCGUCGCUGCGUCAUAGCCCCAGGUACACACUGCCUCUGACCCAGUUACGAUGCAUGUGACUUAAGAGGCACAGUGGGGAGCGAAAGAAACGGCAUGGGCCUUGGGGCUCAGCAGGCUUGCCCUUGAUCCUGCCCUGCGCCACUUUUUAGGUGGGUGACCUUGAGCGAGUCACUUGUCUGGGGAAAAUAACAACAAUGGCAAUAGCAAGGAACUCACGCUGAAAUGGGGCUUACUACCUGCCGGGCCCUGGACUCAGGAUGAGCUCAUCUUAUCUUCCCAAUUCAACGGGUAGGUGUCAUCAUCACCCCCAUUCUAGGGCUGAGGAGAACGAGGCACAGAGAGCCUGAAUAACUCGUCCAAGGUCACGCAGCUCGCGUUGGGACUGGCUCCAAAGCCGGUGCUCUGAACCACUGUUUUCCCAAGCCAGAAUGGUAGAGCAUCUCAUCCGGAUGCCUUGGUAUCCAUGUGGGGAAACCGAGGCCCAGGAGAGCGCAAAGCCUGAGCCGAAGACGCCCAUGCAUUCGCUCAGCUCCUGCUGGGAGGUGACCGAGUGGCAGGCACUGUCCAGGCGCUUCACGGGUAUUAACUCACAGCAGUAGGUAGACCAGCAACUUCCUUCAGGCGGGGACUCCAGGCCAGAGAGUAAACUAAGACACAUCCACCUCCCCGAGUGGUCGAGGGCACAUACACCUGGCAUCGGUGGGAACUUGACCUGAAACUAUUUUGCCUUCAUCACCAUUGCCUCCGCUUGAAGGAGCGGCUGUGGACUCGGUGGCUGUGAACUUUCCAGCAGCAGGCGGUGGAGGCCCCUGGCUGGCCCCCUGUUCCUCCCAUGUAGCCGGCCCUACCGUCCACACUUCAGCCGACUGUGCCAUGCCGCGGGACCUCACGUGCCUUGCACCUCGAGUGUGUGUGUGUGUGUGUCCUCGCUGGCCCCGAGGGAGGCCCUUGGUUUCUGGUCUGUGUGGCUGAAGGCAGGUGGGUGUCACCCAGCCUUCCCGGCAGCAGUUGUGGCUCUGGCCCUGUGGGCUGGGUCUUCUGCCACACGCCGGGAGGGCUUCCCAAGCAAGAAACAAGACCGAACCGCCUACCACUUCCUGUUGGCAGGUGGCUGGAGCUGGGUGCCUCUCUUACGAAAGCCAUACCCAAUGCACAACCCAACUCAGAGCUACUUUGGAGCCUGCCUUCCCUACCCUCCCCCACCACAUGCACACACAGUGCCAGCUUGGCAAAAUGUCACUUACUGAGUCCUCAUAAGAACCCUGAGAAGAAGGGCAAGAUGCUCCCUCUGUUUUUUUUUUUUUUUUUUUUUCUUAAAAACACAGCUAUAUUAGUACACACCACAAAAUUUACCGGUAGUAGGCGUACGAUUCAGUGAUUUUAGCAAACGUCCGUUGCCGCAAUCAAGUGCUGCUUUCUGUUUUAUAGAUGAAGAACCUAGGAGGUUGGUGAUUUACUAUGGUUCUGGAAAAGACAGCCACUGUCCACCAAAACUUUGUGUUCUCUCUUUUAUAAUAGAGCUGCUGCUGGAGGGUGGCUGUCGGCAGGGUACUGCAUUUCCUGCCUGCCUUGCAUCCGGAUGUGGCCAUGUGACCAGUUUUCCCCAAUGGAAUGCGAGCAGCGAUGAUAGAUGUGACUGUCUUUUAAGACUGGGAGGAGUUUCUCCAUUCUCUCAUCGGUCCUAAAAGACAGUGGAGCUACAAGAUAGGAAGGAGGAGCCUGGGUGCCUGGCUGGAGGUCUCCUGGCCAAGAGGAUUACCCACUCUGCAUUUUAUGGCAGCCAGGAGUGAAUGGCUAUUGUGUUAGGCUGCUGAGAUACAGGGGCUUGCUUGUUACAGCGGCUAGCACUACUCUAAUCCAAGGAUUAUGUAGCAAGGAGGCCAGAAAGGUAUGAUUUGAAGCUCGGUUUGUCCACUUGCCUGGAGGAUGGCCAGUCUCAAAAGAGAGGGGGCCCUGCGCUUACCCUGUCUCCUGGGAGGAUAAUAAUACUGGCAAAAGUU